GUGUGUGUGUGUGUGUGUGUACUAAAAUUGGAAUGAUAGACUAGAUCUGCAUGGCCCCUGCACAAGGAUGACAUGCAAAAUCAUGAAGCAUUCCACAUUUUU